AACGAACGCUGGCGGCGUGGAUAAGACAUGCAAGUCGGGCGAGAUUUUUUCCUGUAGCAAUACAGGGAAAAGUCUAGCGGCGAACGGGUGCUUAACACGUGGGCAAUCUGCCUUAAAGUGGGGGAUAGCUCGGCGAAAGCCGGAUUAAUACCGCAUGUGGCUACUGGAGACAUCUUCGGGACGCUAAAGGUGGCGCAAGCUACCGCUUUUUGAGGAGCCCGCGGCCUAUCAGCUUGUUGGUGAGGUAACGGCUCACCAAGGCGUUGACGGGUAGCUGGUCUGAGAGGACGACCAGCCACACUGGGACUGAGACACGGCCCAGACACCUACGGGUGGCAGCAGUCGAGAAUUUUUGACAAUGGGGGAAACCCUGAUCGAGCGACGCCGCGUGGAGGAUGAAGGUCUUCGGGUUGUAAACUCCUGUCAUUUGGGAACAAGGCGCGGCUAUUAACUGUAGUCGUGUUGAUAGUACCAGAAGAGGAAGAGACGGCUAACUCUGUGCCAGCCGCCGCAGUAAGAC
rnacentral:rRNA from 1 species